rnacentral:rRNA from 1 species
UACGCAGGGUGCGAGCGUUGUCCGGAAUCACUGGGCGUAAAGGGCGCGUAGGCGGCCUGAUAAGUAGGGGGUGAAAUCCUGCGGCUUAACCGCAGGGCUGCCUUCUAAACUGUCAGGCUAGAGCACGGUAGAGGCAGAUGGAAUUCCCGGUGUAGCGGUGGAAUGCGUAGAGAUCGGGAAGAACAUCAGUGGCGAAGGCGGUCUGCUGGGCCGUUGCUGACGCUGAGGCGCGACAGCGUGGGGAGCAAACAGG